GUCUCUGGUUGAAGAUCCCUCUCUUGUGGAGUUUCCCUUGUGAGCCUACAUCUUCAGAGACGGCCUGGGAAGGUGAAAGCGUCUCAUUUUAGAGAGAAGGUUGACUACUUAAGGGGAGCCACGGCAUCUCCAAAAAGAGAGGGAAGCAGAGGGCCUCGGCUCACUUACUAACUUGAGUAAGAUUUGUAAUGUGCAGUAGAAACAGUCUAAUUGGGGCUUACAUGCAGCAGCUUGCAAUUGUGCUUUCAUCCAAGACAGUGCUGGAGGCAGUUCAGUUGAACUAGCUGCUGAAAAUACAGACAUCUCCCAAAUUACUUGUUUAAAAUCUGCCUCCAGUAAAAUUUACUCCCUGCAGCUGCUAUCAUCUCUUCUACCUGGAGCUGUGUAACGUUCUCCUUGCCUGCAAAUAUCUCACUGGGCAGCACCACUGAUGCAUCAUCAAGAACAACAGAACGCUGCGUUGUGUAUAAGCUCUGGAGAGCCUGAAACCUCACCAAGAUGCUGUUUACAGCCUGCUCAUGGAUUUAGGGCUGCUUCUCUGAUGCUAGAAGCUAACUAUCUCCUUAAUUGUAAUUAAAAAUGAAAGUCCCUAGGAUGACGUGGAUGCUCACAUGUCAGUAUGUUUUCUUAUCUAAACUUAAUCUGCGGAUAAAACUGAGGGGUGCCAAAGAGCAAAAUUUACCACUAAUAACGUACUCUUGCCUUGCCUUUCCCUAGCAUCUUAUAGCCUAGAGAGCAGAACAGUCUGUUAAAAAAUUCAGCAGACGGUCUUUUGUACUCAAUAACUAACAACACUGAAACCCUUGCCAAGAACUCUCAGUGUGGAGAGGGAGGAGGAGAAUUUUACAUGUAGCGUAUGAAAAUGGGCUUUUUGUGAAGUUAAUUCUGGAAGGUUUCAGCCUCAGUAUAAGGCCACUCUAGAGCGGUGAGAUGGCUCAUUCUUCGCAUUAAAUUCUAUUGCAAGUUAUACAACAGUGGUUGAAAAUUUUCUGACAGCAAGUUUUUCCAUCACAAAAUAGCAAUUCAUUGAAUCACAAUAUGUGUUAGGACAGGGCUGAAUGGUUAAGACGUGGCUUUCUGUACUCCUCUUUUCUCUCAGAGGAAGUAGCCCUUGAGAUCCUGAUGUCAGGCUGCUGUGAGAGCAGGCUCUGAGCUCAGCAAGCAUUUCCAAUCUUCCUUCUCCCACUCCCUCUUCCCCCUGCGUUGCAAUUGUGCUCCCCAUUCGCAAUAUUGCUGAGCUGUCUGUAAUGAUAAAUGAUGUGCCUUUCUUUAAAUUUGCUUUCUGCUCAGUACUAGAUAUUGGCCGGCUUGGAUGUGUGCUCUGGGUGGAUAAAUUACUUUGGCAAGUCAUAGAGAAUUUAUGCACGUGGCAACAGAUGUACCAUGUGUGGUAGAAUUUUUCUUUGUUGUUCCAAUUAUGUAACUUGAUUUUACCUGAGCCAAUUAUAUUUUCAUGAAGAUUCGGUUGCUGGAUUUUGUGUGUGUGUGUGUGUAUGUCAGAAAUGUGAACUUUAGUGCUGAAAGAAAUGUUGGUCUCAGACAAUACAGGCCAAUGCAGAGCUCAGCCAUUACCCAGCUGCACAUCACCCUUUGCUAAGUGCUGCUCUCUUCGCAAGCUUGGGCUGUGUUGUCAAGUGAAUCUGUAUGGGUUCAAAGAAUAGAAACUAGGUUUUGAUUCUUAAUGAGGAUUGUUGUUGCUUGUAAAGGUAGCUGUGGACAACGUUUGAGAGGAGUUUCAAAUGUGUAGAACAGGGCUGCAGUAGAGAUGAAAGUGUUUUUGCUCUUAAUUAAUUUAGAAAGUAGUCUGCCUCGAUAGAAGCGUGUCAUGCU
rnacentral:lncRNA from 1 species